UACGUAGGGGGCGAGCGUUGUCCGGAUUUAUUGGGCGUAAAGAGCGUGUAGGCGGUUCGGUAAGUCUGUCGUGAAAUCCUGAGGCUCAACCUCGGGCGUGCGAUGGAUACUGCCGGGCUAGAGGGUGGUAGAGGCGAGUGGAAUUCCCGGUGUAGCGGUGAAAUGCGCAGAUAUCGGGAAGAACACCGAUGGCGAAGGCAGAUCUCGGGGCCGUAACUGACGCUGAGGAGCGAAAGCAUGGGGAGCGAACAGG
rnacentral:rRNA from 1 species